AUUGAACGCUAGCUGCAGGCCUAACACAUGCAAGUCGAGCGAGCGGCGGACGGGUGAGUAAUGCCUGGGAAUUGCCCAGUCGAGGGGGCUAACAGUUGGAAACGACUGCUCAUACCGCAUACGUCUGGGUUGCCCAGCUGGGAUUGGCUAGUUGGUGAGGUAAUGGCUCACCAAGGCGACGAUCCCUAGCUGGUCUGAGAGGUUGAUCAGCCACACUCGAACGGGUAUAAGGUCCAGACUCCUAGGGCAGGCAGCAGUGGCGAAUAUUGCAGAAUGGGGGAGUCCCUGAUGCCGCCAUGCGGCGAGUUUGAAGAAGGCUUGCGGGUUGUAAGUCACUUUCAUCGGCGAGGCGUUACGGGCAGAAGAAGUACCGGGUAUAUCCGUGCCAGCCGCCGCGGUAAUAC
rnacentral:rRNA from 1 species